rnacentral:rRNA from 1 species
UACGUAGGGGGCAAGCGUUGUCCGGAAUCAUUGGGCGUAAAGAGCGUGUAGGCGGUUCGGUAAGUCUGCUGUGAAAGUCCAGGGCUCAACCCUGGGAUGCCGGUGGAUACUGUCGGACUAGAGUACGGAAGAGGCGAGUGGAAUUCCCGGUGUAGCGGUGAAAUGCGCAGAUAUCGGGAGGAACACCAAUUGCGAAGGCAGCUCGCUGGGACGUCACUGACGCUGAGGAGCGAAAGCUAGGGGAGCAAACGGG